rnacentral:rRNA from 1 species
GACGAACGCUGGCGGCGUGCUUAACACAUGCAAGUCGAACGGUGAAGGGGAGCUUGCUCCCCGGAUCAGUGGCGAACGGGUGAGUAACACGUGGGCAACCUGCCCCAGACUUCGGGAUAACGCUUCGAAAGAGGUGCUAAUACCGGAUACGAACUCCUUGGGCAUCCUGGGAGUUGGAAAGUUUUUCGGUCUGGGAUGGGCCCGCGGCCUAUCAGCUAGUUGGUGAGGUAACGGCUCACCAAGGCGACGACGGGUAGCCGGCCUGAGAGGGCGGCCGGCCACACUGGGACUGAGACACGGCCCAGACUCCUACGGGAGGCAGCAGUGGGGAAUAUUGCGCAAUGGGCGAAAGCCUGACGCAGCAACGCCGCGUGAGGGAUGACGGCCUUCGGGUUGUAAACCUCUUUCAACAGGGAAGAAGCGAAAGUGACGGUACCUGCAGAAGAAGCACCGGCUAACUACGUGCCAGCCGCCGCGGUAAGAC